rnacentral:pre_miRNA from 1 species
CGUCACGUUUGAUCAUCCGUCUUAUUUAAAAAUUUUGUGAAUAUAUUAUUUAUUUUGUUAUGAUUUGUUUUAUCAUUAGGUAUACUUUAAGUAUGACUUAUUUGUUUUUAUAUUUUUAUAAAUUUUUUGAAUAAGACGGAUGGUCAAACAUGAUGUGCGGAAACCGAU